rnacentral:tRNA from 1 species
GCCUCGGUGGUGUAAUAGAAAACACGGCAGACCGGUUAUCUGUAAGUGCGGGUUCGAGUCCCGCCUGAGGUU